AUACGUAGGGUGCGAGCGUUGUCCGGAAUUACUGGGCGUAAAGAGCUCGUAGGUGGUUUGUCGCGUCGUCUGUGAAAUUCCGGGGCUUAACUCCGGGCGUGCAGGCGAUACGGGCAUAACUUGAGUACUGUAGGGGAGACUGGAAUUCCUGGUGUAGCGGUGAAAUGCGCAGAUAUCAGGAGGAACACCGGUGGCGAAGGCGGGUCUCUGGGCAGUAACCGACGCUGAGGAGCGAAAGCAUGGGUAGCGAACAGGAUUAGAUACCCUGGUAGUCCAUGCCGUAAACGGUGGGCGCUAGGUGUAGGGGUCUUCCACGACUUCUGUGCCGUAGCUAACGCAUUAAGCGCCCCGCCCGGGGAGUACGGCCGCAAGGCUAAAACUCAAAGGAAUUGACGGGG
rnacentral:rRNA from 1 species